rnacentral:rRNA from 1 species
AUACGAACCGGACAAACGUUAUUCGGAAUCAUUGGGCUUAAAGGGUGCGUAGGCGGCGCAGUAAGUGAGGCGUGAAAGCCCUCGGCUCAACCGAGGAAUUGCGCUUCAUACUGCUGUGCUUGAGGGAGACAGGGGUAAGCGGAACUGAUGGUGGAGCGGUGAAAUGCGUUGAUAUCAUCAGGAACACCAGUGGCGAAAGCGGCUUACUGGGUCUCUUCUGACGCUGAGGCACGAAAGCUAGGGUAGCGAACGGGAUUAGAAACCCCUGUAGUCC